rnacentral:rRNA from 1 species
CCUACGGGAGGCAGCAGUGGGGAAUUUUGGACAAUGGGCGCAAGCCUGAUCCAGCAAUGCCGCGUGAGUGAAGAAGGCCUUCGGGUUGUAAAGCUCUUUUGUCAGGGAAGAAACGGUUGAGGCUAAUAUCCUCGGCUAAUGACGGUACCUGAAGAAUAAGCACCGGCUAACUACGUGCCAGCAGCCGCGGUAAUACGUAGGGUGCAAGCGUUAAUCGGAAUUACUGGGCGUAAAGCGUGCGCAGGCGGUUUUGUAAGUCUGUCGUGAAAGCCCCGGGCUUAACCUGGGAAUUGCGAUGGAGACUGCAAGGCUUGAAUCUGGCAGAGGGGGGUAGAAUUCCACGUGUAGCAGUGAAAUGCGUAGAGAUGUGGAGGAACACCGAUGGCGAAGGCAGCCCCCUGGGUCAAGAUUGACGCUCAUGCACGAAAGCGUGGGGAGCAAACAGGAUUAGAUACCCUGGUAGUCCACGCCCUAAACGAUGUCUACUAGUUGUCGGGUCUUAAUUGACUUGGUAACGCAGCUAACGCGUGAAAGUAGACCGCCUGGGGAGUAACGGUCGCAAAGNUUAAAACUUCAAAGUGAGUUGNGNGNGAGAGNGCGAGGACGACGACGAGGGAGGAGG